GGGGAAAUUGUGUCUCGUUGUUUUCGACUAAAAGGUUAAUUGCAUAAGUUGUUGUUGAAUUUCUAUUAAUAUUUGUUCUCGUUUGUUUUUUUUCUUUUAAAAUGUGGUUUUUGCUUAGUUUUUCGAUUUCUUAGUUUAAGUUCUGAUUGGAUUUCUUUUAGGCGAAGAUUGUGACGGCAUUGUCUCUCCAUCAAGUUAAUUUCGCAUAUUGAUGUUUGUAAGAGGGUGAGUGUAUAGUUUUUGAGUUGGGUUUGUGUUGAAGUUUUUGAUAUAUUUCGACUGAUUGUUUAAUUAGCUUUAUAGUUCAAUUAAAU
rnacentral:lncRNA from 1 species